UGCGGAAGGAUCAUUAUUGAGCACCUGUGAACCAAAUGUUAUUACACACACAUUGUUAUAAGAACAUGUUGAUUAUAAUUAAUACAACUUUCAACAACGGAUCUCUUGGCUCUCGCAUCGAUGAAGAACGCAGCGAAAUGCGAUAAGUAAUGUGAAUUGCAGAAUUCAGUGAAUCAUCGAAUCUUUGAACGCACCUUGCGCUCCUUGGUAUUCCAAGGAGCAUGCCUGUUUGAGUGUCAUUACAUUUUCAAUCUUUGGAUUUGGAGUGUUGCUGGCUAGUUCAGCUUCUCUUAAAAUUAGCAUAAGCUUUGGUUUGAUAAUAUCUAUGCCAUCGCUAUGAAACACCAUAUAUACUUUGACCUCAAAUCAGGUAGGACUACCCGCUGAACUUAAGCAUAUC
rnacentral:rRNA from 1 species